GAUGGCUGGGUCUUGGCCCAGCAAUGGUGACACCGGUAACCGGAGCGAUUAGGGCUCGACCCGGAGAGGGCGCCCGAGCCAACGCCGACCCACAUCGAAGAAAGGCAGCACGGCGCGCAAAUUACCCAAUUCCGACUCGGGGGAGGUAGUGACAAUAAAUACUGAUGCAGGCGCGCUUACGUGUCUUGCAAUUGGAAUGAGUACAAUUUAAAUCCCUUAACGAGCGAACAAUUGGAGGGCAAGUCCUGGUGCCAGCAGCCGCGGUAAUUCCCAGCUCCAAUAGGCGUAUAUUAAAGUUGUUGAGGUUAAAAAGCUCGUAGUUGAACCUUGGGCUUUGGCUGGCCGGUCCGCCUCACCCGCGUGCACUGGUCCCGGCCGGGUCUUUUCCUCCGGGGAGCCGCAUGCCCUUUUACCGGGUGUGCCGGGGAACCGGGACGUUUACUCUGAACAAAUUAGAUCGCUUAAAGAAGGCCCUUUGCUUGAAUACAUUAGCAUGGAAUAAUGAAAUAGGACGUGUGGUUCUAUUGGGUGGUUUCUAGGACCGCCGUAAUGAUUAAUAGGGACAGUCGGGGGGGGGGGGGUCAACUUUCAGAUGUGAA
rnacentral:rRNA from 1 species